GAGGAGGGGAAAGACAUGAGACUCCUGGGUCAAAGACAAGGGACUUGACCUUUCAUGGCACAGUAAUCAGCAGAGCAGAACAUCAAUUUCACGUGUCUCAGGAAGAAUGGAUUUUGGCCUCAGUCCCGCAGUACCUAGGUCUUUAUUUACACUUUUUUAAUUUUAGAAUCUUGACUGGUUACCCUGCUUGCUGAAGCUUCAGGCUACUUGCCAGUAAUAAAUGAAAAUAAAAUUGACAUCACAGUAUGGCAGAUAAAAUGAAAUUAAAUAAUGCAAGUCCAUGCAUUAUGGCCCAGACAUAAGAAAUGUGAAAAAGUCAUUCAAAGGAGUUUAAGGACAAAGAAAGAUGCUGAGCAACUCAUAAAGAUGGUAACCGAUGGUCGUAACCAAUUCUAUCAGGCACGCCCUGCUCUCCUUAAUCAC